UUGUAAUUAUAAAAGGUAAAAUCAUUUUUCAGUCAAUUGAAGUAUUAUGAAGAAACGUACAAAAUCCACUGUCAUAGGAAACAAGAGGAAAGAAUUAGUAG